rnacentral:misc_RNA from 1 species
AAUCAUCAAAACCCUUUUCUUUUUUGGAAAGGGAUUUUGGACUUGGAGGUUUGAUGCCCGCUUUCAUUUUUGAAAGCGAGCUCCUCUCAAAGGAAUCAGUGGGGUUUGCUUUGCCGAUCCUUGACGUGAUAAGAUGUUUCUACGUUUUGGACUUGGCACUGUGCCUGCUUCUAACCGUCUCAUGGACAACGUUGGUGCUCCGGUCACCGCCGUCUGUGGCGGGAGGCUGGACCCACAAAGAA